rnacentral:rRNA from 1 species
UGUUCUUCGUGACAUAGCGAACUGCUCAGUAACACGUGGAUAACCUACCCUUGGGACCGGAAUAACCCCGGGAAACUGGGGAUAAUACCGGAUAAGCCAUAGACGCUGGAAUGCCCUAUGGUUCAAAGCUCCGGCGCCCAAGGAUGGAUCUGCGGUCUAUCAGGUUGUAGUGGGUGUAACGUACCUACUAGCCUACGACGGAUACGGGUUGUGAGAGCAAGAGCCCGGAGAUGGAUUCUGAGACACGAAUCCAGGCCCUACGGGGUGCAGCAGGCGCGAACACUUUACAAUGCGGGAAACCGCGAUAAGGGAACCCCGAGUGCCAGCAUCAAAUGUUGGCUGUCCAGAUGGUUAAAAAUCAUUUGUUAGCAAGGGCCGGGCAAGACCGGUGCCAGCCGCCGCGGUAACACCGGCGGCCCGAGUGGUAGCCGUUUUUACUGGGUCUAAAGGGUCCGUAGCCGGCCUAAUAAGUCUUUUGGGAAAUCUGACAGCUUAACUGUCAGGCUUCUAAGGGAUACUGUUAGGCUUGGGACCGGAAGAGGUAAGGGGUACUCCAGGGGUAGGAGUGAAAUCUUGUAAUCCCUGGGGGACCAUCUGUGGCGAAGGCGCCUUACCAGAACGGGUCCGACGGUGAGGGACGAAAGCUAGGGGAGCAAACCGGAUUAGAUACCCGGGUAGUCCUAGCUGUAAACGAUGCUCGCUAGGUGUCAGACACGGUGCGACCGUGUUUGGUGCCGCAG